rnacentral:rRNA from 1 species
CCUACGGGUGGCAGCAGUGAGGAAUAUUGGUCAAUGGGCGGGAGCCUGAACCAGCCAAGCCGCGUGAGGGAAGAAGGUACAGCGUAUCGUAAACCUCUUUUGUCAGGGCACAAAGGCUGGGACUAGUCCCCGGAUGAGGGUACCUGAAGAAAAAGCAUCGGCUAACUCCGUGCCAGCAGCCGCGGUAAUACGGGGGAUGCGAGCGUUAUCCGGGUUUAUUGGGGUUAAAGGGUGCGCAGGGGGCCUGUUAAGUCAGCGGGAAAAGCCCGGGGCUCAACCCCGGCGAGCCGUUGAAACUGGCGGGCUGGAGUUGGAGAGAGGUACGCGGAAUGCGCGGUGUAGCGGUGAAAUGCUUAGAUAUCGCGCAGAACCCCGAUUGCGAAGGUAGCGUACCGGCUCCACACUGACGCUGAGGCACGAAAGCGUGGGUAUCGAACAGGAUUAGAUACCCGAGUAGUC